CCUGAGCGACGGGGCCGCUUUGCAAGACCGUUGAGGGGCGCGGGGGAAACCUCGCGCCCCUUUUUCCUU
rnacentral:sRNA from 1 species